CCCUUAGAUGUUCUGGGCUGCACGCGCGCUACACUGAUGCGUUCAACGAGUUUAUGACCUUGCCCGAUAGGGUUGGGUAAUCUUUUUAAAUCGCAUCGUGAUGGGGAUAGAUUAUUGCAAUUAUUAAUCUUCAACGAGGAAUUCCUAGUAAGCGCGAGUCAUCAGCUCGUGCUGAUUACGUCCCUGCCCUUUGUACACACCGCCCGUCGCUCCUACCGAUUGAAUGGUCCGGUGAAUCUUUAGGACUGUGGCUGAGGCCUUGCCUUGUGCGGGUCUGGCCGUGGGAAUUUAGUUAAACCUUACCAUUUAGAGGAAGGUGAAGUCGUAACA
rnacentral:rRNA from 1 species